AUUUUUCAUCUAUUUAUUAACAGACAAACUGCUUGUGGAAAUAAAAUCGUCUACCAUUUAACCCUCUGUGUAUGGAGAGACUAAGUGUACCAAACUAAAUGGAACUUGUACUAAAAAGACAACAGACAAAAAUGACGGACAUAAUAAAUACCCCUGAGAUUCUGUGAAGCUCCUCUCCACUUGAUAGCCAUUUUGAUUGGAAUCUGCACAUUGCUGCCUUUCAAAAUCAAAUUCAGAGAUAUGCUCUAGACCAUGCUGGUUGUGAAGCAAGAUGGGGACAAGGCAAGAUCUGGAUAGCGAGGUAGCCAUGACAUCAACCCUGAAAGAAAACAAGCCAAACAGAAAAUGACCCAAGCAAGUGUCAUUUUUUUACCAGUGCUAUAUAAGGGUGGGAAAGUUUUUUUUCAGAAUAGGGCCAGAUAGCCAUAAGAAGCUAACAAUAGUUACAUGCUAAUCAUUUUGAUUUUUAAUUCACUCCAUGACUUCAUGCAGGGAUGGCCUGGCAUUACCAUACGAUUCAGCCCACAUAUUGCUUGCCAUGUGAUGUGCAUCUAUUGGUCUUCUCAGAGCUAACAUGCUUCUUUUUCCAUCCAUGUUUGGUAACAUAUUCAACAAUUAAUAGUUGUGAUUAGUGAAUGACUUUGCAGCAGAGUAAUCCUAAGAUGAAUAUGACUAACUGGAAAUGUUAUGUGUCAAUUUCAGAAACAGAGGAUUUAUAGAUUCAAGUAAGUUAACACCGCAGCUUCUAUAAGAAUGCACAAAAAGGACUUAUGUUAUUUGUUAAUCUGUUAGUGUAUUGGAACUCACCAAAAGGAUAUUAUAGGGCUAUAGAAGAAAUCAAUUAUUGCCUAAAAUGUAGCUAGUAUCACACAGUCCCGUUGGUAUAAUGAAAAGGCCUUAAAGGUAAGGUGAGGGUCAAGUACAUUGACCUUCAUUCAAAGAGGGCCAUUUAGCGCUCACACAGGCCCAUUUGGGUACCGGCUCACCAUGCAUUUACCCGACUGCCCAUAUAACCAUUCCAUCACCUGAUUUCAUGCAUGUGCUGGUCAAAUUAACUUCCAUAUAAUGUCCUUUUGGUGAGUUCAAAUGAUAUAUGAUCUUUACUUUAUCCUCUUUGGUUAUAAGAACCAGUCGGUCAAAGUCUAAUGAUCUAAAAAAAUAAAAAAUCAAGAGAAUUGUUACAUAGGCUG
rnacentral:sRNA from 1 species